GCAUUUGCCAUAAAGUGAGAGACACUCAAAGAGAGACAAACACAACAGAAUCACAACCUGUGGAUUACUUGACCACCUUCUACCUUCUAAACAGUGAACUAUGAUGUGACGCUGAAUGUCGUGGACGUGUUUCUGUGCUGUUGCGACGCAGACCAGUGGAGGCCAUUUGACAUCAGAGAGGACAACUGUUGGGACAACUAUGCAGUAGCUCACUGAGACGAUUUAGCAGCCACCUGCGAGUUCUUCCCCAUGUUCAUUCAAACCUAGGGGAAUUUAGGGGAACCUGAAACCUGAGCAGUAUGGAGGUGCUCAGUGGCCCCUGGGCUGAUUUGGCUCUGCUCCUGCGACAGACCGUCACGCAGACAGACGGACAGACAGACACCUUUCUUCCUCUGUGGAUCUUCGGUCUGCUGCUCUUCCUGUCCGUCUGUGUGCUGCUGCUGCAGCUGAUUAUCUACCUCAACUGGAAACUCAGACAGGUUGAAGCUGAAUUGUCGGAGUUUCCGCAGGACCAAAGCGCCCUCUACAGGCGGAUGCACAGAACUCGACACAGGAGGAGGAGGAGUGUUGGGUGACGUUCACACACCUGAGCGAGCAAACCCUUGUUCUAGCAUUGAAACGUGAUAAUAAGCGGUUCCAAGAGGACGAAGGUGACGCCGUUAUAGGUCGUGAUUUGGAGCCACUGUUUGAAACACCCAGAAAAGUUACAAAUGUUACACUGACAUCAUUUAUGACCAUGUUUAGAGAUGAACUCCUUGUUUAAGCUUUAGAAAAUACCUUAUUUUAAAUACUCAACACUUACACAUCAACAUACAAGAGAAACUUUUGCAGAAAUAAACAAGAAAAUGCACAGUC